ACAGGUGCCUGGAUUUCUACUACAUUUCCAUUUGUGGUCAAGCAGAGCUCAAACUUCUUCAAGCAAAUGUGAGAAACUAGUAACUGUUCCAAAAAAAAUGUGAUUUCCAUGGCACUGUAAUAAUGUAUUUAAAUUGCUGAGGGACAUAGCUAUGAAGACUUGCAUGUACCACACCUUUCUACACACUCUGUGCAAGAGUGCAUUUAAAAAUUUGCGAAGUCUAAGCAGUUGCUGUUACCAUGACAAAUGACUUUUUAAUCAGUCAUAAUCUUGCACUAAGUGCUGUAUAAGUGCCCUUUGUUUCACUACUUAAACUGCCAAUGGCUAACAAUGGAAGUCACAGACUAGUGCCUGUCAUUAAAAGCAAUAGAAAAAAUCAAUACAAUUUUUAAUUAAAGGUGCCCAACGACUUGAGUAUUAAGAAAGGAAUUCUCCUUGUCAGUAUAUCUUGCCUUCAAGCCCUUACUGGCAGUUCAGAAGUUAACACACAGGCAAAUGGAAGUAUUUACAAUGUGCUCCUGGAAAUAAGAAAGAAGAGGGCAUGAGGAGAAUUCAGGGAAAAUAUGUUCUAUUUGAUUGGUAUUGUUAGGGAAAGGAUAAAGUACAUAAGUACUGAUGUCUGUGGAAACCCUAGAGCAUGCUUUUCAUUAGACUUUUAAAAAUAUGGAAGAAUAUAUAAAAAGAUACUCCUGUCAGUAAAAUUUGCAAUAUAGAUUUUUCUCUACACACUUGUGAAGAAGCAGCUUGAAAAAAACUUCCUAUUGCUGUCAUUAUUAUUGGUGUAUUCAUGUUAUUAACUGCCUCAAGCUUCCUGUCUGUUUAGUCUCUUCUUACUCUUGAGUGCUCAGGUUUUUUUCUUGUCAUGUUUUUCUGAUACCUUCUCUUCCUCUGUUAUCUGCCAAUGUGUUUGUAGAAGAAGCAGAUGUGUUUCACCCAUGGUGAUAAAAUCUUCACUGGUGUACCUUUAAUAACAAUACUGCUACAACAGUAGGUGUACUCUAAUUUCUCAACAGAAGAGAAAUUUGACAGGAAUAGAUAUAAGGUCUGGGCCAAAUAGAUGAUCUUUCUGGGCACUUGCUGGAUGGGCAUACCUUCUAAGUGAACAUACUUGUUUUGAAAUUAGGGUAGAUUUUCUGAAUUAGAUUAAAUUGUAUUGAAAGGUAUAGAAUAUAAUCAAAAGGACACUUAAAUACCAUAGUAUAUGUUAACUUAUGCUACUAAAUUAUCAAGUAAUUUUGCAGCUUAUAUGAACCUGACAUGACCUAUGAAAUCUUAUAUUGCUUUUGUGUUUUGGAGAAAUUUACAAUCUCAGUAUAUAUAAAUGCUUAAGAACAUGAUCUGUCCAUUCAUGUGAUCAGCACUUUUAGGUUUUUAUAGAUUUAGAUUUUCAUCCUUUAGGCUGCAAACUGAAAAACGUUAGACUAUGAACCACAACUUAGAGUAAGAAAAAAAAAAAAUGUAUUUCUAGGACAAAUGCUCCUGAUUUUGACAUAUGAUUAAAUAUUCGAGCAAUAAUGACAGACUUCAGAACUGCUAUAACACUUUCAAGAACAGUAUGACAGUAUCAGGAACCUGAUCCUGUGAGAAUUAUGUGAUUAAUAGUGCUUUGACUUCCUUACAAGUAGUUUUCAUAAGCAAUAUCUAGCUUCUAAUGUAAGUUAUAUAUUCCACAUAAUAUUACCAAUUUAAUCACCUAAAUCUCAACUUUAUUUUUUCCUUUUUAUUUUCCUUUCUGUGAUACAUUAAGAGUAACCUGUUUGUUAUAGCAGUAGCAGGUAACAUGCAGCAUUUCUUUUUCUUACUUAAGUUACAGGGCUUCCACGAGGAGUAAUGAAGAAGAAAAAGGCAAUGGAAUUAAAACCAGCACCAACUGUACAGAAGAAAUAUGUGUAAUGCUAGCAAAUGAAAAAAUACCACAGUAGGAAUACGUUGGGAUUUGACAAUGCAUUCAGCACCCUUGGACACAACCAGCAUGGCUUGCCUGUCCUGGCUGAGCUCCAGCAACAUCUUACUCUCUUUCAGUCUGAGACAGUCUUUCUCAUUUGCUACCCGAUAAAGAUUCAGAUGUUUGGAAUUUACUUAUUUGAAGGGGAGUUGGAGGUGUGGAGUAGAAGUUGGUGAAGAUUAUUUCCCCUAUUCUCUGCUGACAGCAACAAUCUGCAAUGACUGGUCACUCAGUGCAACUCAGAAGCAUCUUAAUGUGCUUCACUGAAGACAUGGCAGUUCUUGUGUCUAGAGGUCCUAUCCAGCCCACCUUCUCUGUCUGCCAGGCAAGGUGUUAUACGGGAUGAGGUGGGAUUCAGGGCUUUGCUCUCAGGACUGAAGGAACUAUGUCAGACCUUCACUGUCCAGACUAAAAUAACUUGGGAUAGCCAGUUAAGCUGCCUCUGUGAUCACUGUGCCUGCUCAGAAUCAGUACAGGAAGACUUCUGCAGGAGGGUCUUGAACUGGUCUAGGUUGUUAAUGUUUUACAUGGCAAGUGACAUACACUCCCUUGUGUUCUUUUCUCAGGUUGUCAUUGCUGAAGCAGAGUACUCAGCUGAGCUGUUGCUCCCAUGCCCAAAACUGAAAGGUGACCAGAAAAGAAGUGCCUGUGGAAGAUCUAAUGGUGAGUCAAUUGCAGAAAAUAAAUUACAAGGGUCACAGACUUGGCUUGGCAGAAGAAACAAACAUAUUUGAUCUGUUGACUUAUUGGAGGUGCAUUACUCCAUCCAUUUUUACUGCAGUUUUCUCAAAGCAGACAACAGGGCUCACUGAGGAGAUCACCUCUUUCAGAGACUUAUCUGUUGAACACCAUUGGGACAUAUGAAUUAGAAGAGCCUUUGUAUCUGAUUUCCUGCCUCUGUAAUUCCCAGGAAAGCUACCUAGAGUUGCUUGAUUUUAUCCUCUCCAAAUGCAUUUAUUUCUAUGUAGAUUUUGAAUUUUGUAAAGUGGCUGGAAAUAAAAAUGAAUGUAGAAUUAACUGAAAAUAGCUUUAAGCAUUAAUUAAGUCCUCCUGUCUAAGAGGAUCUAAGGGAUGCGAGUCAUAGAGAUUAUGAAUUAUUUGUAAGAAAUAACACUUCACAGUUAUGUGGUGUACACUGAAACAGGGAAUGCUUCAACUUCGGUCCUUAUAUCAGGUUGCUAACUUUUCUUGCUUAUGAAUUGGGGUAUAAGUAUACAGUAUCUACUUGGAUAUUCCCUGUCUCAAAAGCAUAUAGACCUUAUGUAUAUAAAAGACCAAGCACAGCAGUGCGCUCCACUUCAUCAGGGAGCCUGAACCUCUUUUGAUAGUUACUCAGGAGUUCGUUUACCUGUCUAAACCUGGAGAAACUGUCAUAAUAAAGCAAUAUAAUAGGUUUGAUGUAGCCUUCAGAAAAACAGAUAGUAAGGAUUAAAUUACUGUUGGUGUGUCUGAGCACUGCAGUUCAAAACCUUCUGAAAAUGUGUGUUGCAAUAUAUCUCUGACCACUCAAGGAUGGUUUCAUGAUUUCAUUUUGGCACAUGACAUAGCCUCCUAGUCCUGACUGUGUAGCUUGGAGGAAGCAGCUACAAGCAAAGCACUUGGGUUUAAAACUGCAAUUUUUUGUCAUUUAGUCUGACUACCUUCAUUCUAUGAAGAAGAGUUGUACAGAUACUCCCACAAGCAGUUAAGCCACCCACUGUCUUCUGAGUAUUAGCAGCAGACUCAUAGAAAGGGCCAAAUGAAGGCAAGUCAGCUUUCUCUGUUUUGUAGUGUACAGAUGCAAAAUUCAUUCUCACAGAAGACUAACCCUAAAUUUUGCAAGUAGUAGGAUAAUCUUAUUAUAAUAUCUUAACUCCUUCCAUCCCUGCAGCCAAAACUUUGCUGAGUGAACUGUUACAAUAUCAGAAAGCUUUAUUUUGCGUAUCCUGAAUUAGGAUGCAGAGUAAAGAAAAAUUAGAUGUGAGGGGGACUGCUUAUUUUGUUCAACUGGAAAACAAAGUUAUUCAAUCCAAACUAGCAGCUUCCUGACAAAAAGACCCAUAUUAUAUGCAUGCAGAUACAUCAGUCACUGAAAUACCUGUUGAAUCUCAACUGCAGUUUGGGAUAUGAAUGGCUUUUUCUGCAUAAAUAUACAGUUGGGGUUUUUAAAAUUGUUGUUAUUUUUACAGUGUACAAUAAAUCACAGCUGUAAAUGCACUUUUAAUAAAAAACUGUCGUAAAA